CUCUCUCUCUCUCUCUCUCUCUCUCUCUUCUUUCAGUAUCUGCAUCCUCUCUGCUAAGGACCCCAUCUUAGUUUAUGGUUAAUUAUUAAAAUCUCACUUUGUGAUCAUAUAAAUGACAUUUGUACCAUCUUAUAGAAUGGUUCUGGUAUCCAUAUCACUCUACAGCUUAUCGCAUUCGAAUGUGACAACACUAAGAAAGACUCAUUUUCAUUAUGAACAAUUACUCAUUUUUUCUGCUUCUUAGGCUUCAUGCAAAAAAUCAUUACAUUUCAGGACCUUGUACUAUAUCUUUGCCAGAGAAGCUGUUAAGAUUUUCCCUUGGAAGUGCACAAUUCACAAAAUAAAAAAGGAAAAUUGUCUUAAAGGAUCUAAGAAAAAAAAUAAAAAUUCAAAUAAAACCCUUAGAAAAUAAGGGCCUCCAAUAAGCAGCUCCUCUCCAAAGAAUCCUGUGGAUUCUUUCUUAUUUAUAGUCCUGAAUAGUUAUGUUCCUUUCUCUCCAAGUGGCACUGGGCAUGUUUCCUGCAGCAGUUCCUAGAAGAUAGCUUUUACCACUGUUCUCUUACUCUUCCAGUAUAUAAUUCAUUAUCAGUUCCUGCUACAAAUCUCAAAUGCUUUCAGUGGGUGCUCAAUAUGGUUCUGUAAUUCUUGUGCAGUCCAUUCAUCCAACAGGCAUUUCUGGAGUUUGUAUAGUGUACAAAGAACCAGGCAAGAAAUCAUUCAGGUCCAAGUCCAACUACCAAGGUCAUCCAAACCAUUCUCCUCCUGGCUGUGAGGAAGAAGAGGAGAGUCAUCUGAAUCCAGUGGCAAGACACAGAUCAAGACAACUGGUGAUUGUCCUGGGAGUAGUGGAAGACUUUGGCCUUUUUAAGUGAACACCUUUCCCAGGUUCUAGUUUGUCUGAGGCAACAUUUAUUCAGUGCUUAAAGGCUAGGGAAGAAUUGAUGCAAAGAUGACCUAGCUUGCCUUCUCAAAAGAAUAAAUGUGAGGGAAGACCCAGAUUCUGCCCAGAACGGAAACAAUUGCUAUUUAGUCACUCUGAGCCAUCAAAAACCAAUCAAUGAACAAAUGAGGCUUGGGCUAGGCCAUAUUAUUGGACAAUAAAUGAGAGCCAGAAUAUGGAUUUAAAGGCAUAAAGUGGCUCCGUUUGUAUCUCAAUGGGCUUUAUCAAAAUUCAGAACUAUAUUAAAAAAAACCCCUAAAACCCAAAUGAGACAAGAGUUGAUUGUUCCAUUAAUAAAAAAUAUAAACUAAAUCAGUAGGGAAGAAAAACAUCUAGUCCCCAAAUCCCAAGAUAUUUCAAGUAUAAAUGAUCAAAAUUAAUACUCCUUUGGACAGAGGACCCACAAGUAAGGGUAUGACUCUCUUGGUGACGAGAGUAGAGGUGACCAAAGAGAGGUUGAGGAUCAGGAGGAGGAAGAUACCUUCAACAGAAAUAGUGAAAUGUAAGGAGGUAUGGAUUCAAAGGAGAAGAUAAUGAAUUCAAUUUGAGAUAUAAUGAGUUUCAGAUGCCUAUGGAACAUACAAGUGGAAAUGUCUAAGCUGAUAGCCAAGAGUAUGAAACCUAGUUUCAAGAGAUUGGAAGCCAGACUGCAAGGGAUUGAGAAAGGAAUGGGAAAACUGAAGUUGAAGAAGUGGAUGAAGUCACCACAGACAAGCCAAGUUCCCCAUUUUUUUGGUCUAAUAAUUUUGAGAUCCAGGCUGUGUUUUAUGUGGGGAUGCUCAGGAUGAGGCAGCUAGAUAGAUACAGCCUUGGACCCUUGGAUGCUUCUUAGCUGUAUAACUGGCAUGACUACUCAAACAAAAGAAGGAUUCCAGGUCCCUGAUAGUGAAAGCUUCAGCUGAUCAAAAGGUGGAACAAAACCUCUCUUAAACCAACUUACCCAGAUGAUGCUGAUCUCUUUCUGAAGUGUUAGAAAGAGAACUGAGAUUGGAAGAUGGCCUGGAGCCCACUCGAUCUGUCUGGGCUUCAUGAAGAUCUUGCAAGAGCUUAGUUGUUUCAUCUAAGUUUAAGUGGUUAUCAUCAUGGUCAAGCUCCUUCUUCACUUUCCCUGAAAACCAAACACCACAUUGUUACAGUUCUGAUGGAUUAUAACCCUAUGAGGUUUUUUGUACUUCUACCUAUUCAGUUCAUAUGGCAUCAUGAUGCAGAACCAAGUAACAAUGAUGGUGGAAUGAAAGUGAGCAUACUGAAUUAAAUAUAUAACAAAAAGGAAAAAUUGCAAGUUGUCAGAAGUGUGUUGGGGGCAGAGGGGAAGCAAGGAGUAAGAGGCCUUUUAGUUAUAAACAGGUUUCAAGUCAAGGAAAAUACCUGAGAAUAAAAUUUAUAAUCAUUUACUGAAAAUAUAGUCAAAUGCUCUUGGAAGCAAAGAAUAAUGCUGCAAACUGUCCUGUUUUAUGUAUCAUAAUUACUGGGCAUUAUCACUCUCACUCAAAAGAAAGAAAAAAAUCAUAGUUAUUUCCUGACAGUUCAUAUGUCCCUUAGGCAUUGUACUUUACCUCAAUAAUGAGGCACCAUCAACUCCCCCAAUACUCUGUGUAUCCCCCUUACUCAAAAGACAUUUAAAAACAAAUUAAAUCUUCCUUAUCUAUUUUUACUAAGAACUGCAGGGAGUGGGUCAUAAUAAAAUAAGAUAUGGAUCUCCAAAACUUCUAAAGAGAGAAGAUGGGGGGAAGAGGGAGCCAUUGCCAUUCUGGCAAUAAAAGCAGGGACGGCUUGCCUAAAUUCUCUUCCAAAUGACAUUAAUACAACAAAAACAACAAAAGGAUGUGGAGAAAAAAAUUUCAAGGCCAAGAAAAUUCUAUUAGAAGGCUUCCCAAAAAUUCCUAGAAGAGCUCAAAAAGAAUUUUAAUCAAAUAAGAGAACUGGAGGAAAAAUUGAGAAAAGAAGAAAUGACGCAAGAAAAUCAUGGAAAAAACAGUAAACUGCUUAAGUAAAGUAGGUACAAAAAAGGGAGAUGAAUAAAAUUUUAGAAGAGUUUAAAAUAGAGAAUUAAAAAUAUUUGGGAGUGGACCUGCUAAGACAAGCCCUGGAACUAUAUGCACAUUAUUACAAAACAUUUUUCACACAAAUAAAGUCAGAU